UCAAACUUUUGUUUCAAAAAGAAAAAUGACUGCAUCAAAGUAUUUUCUUCUCCUAGUAUUGUUCUUCUUUGUAUUCUCAUCAUGCGAUACAUUAUUUGUGGAGGCGCAAGCGAUCGAUUGUCCAAGGAAGAUUAUUAUACCUGACUGCAUUAAUCCUCUAUGCAGCUCAAAAUGUUGGGCAAAAUAUGGCCCUGGAAUAUUUGGUGCAUGUUUUGGCAAAACCAAGUGUUGCUGUGAUUCUUAGAACAAAUAAUAUUUUUGGUUGAUUAAUAAAACAAAUCUUUAAUAGC